GUCCAAAAAAGGAUGAAGUUUUGAUCAAAGUAGAGGCAGCUAGUAUUAACCCAAUCGACUGGAAAAUACAGGAGGGGGUAGCGCGCCCAUUUUUACCUCGCAAAUUCCCCCACAUUCCUGGUACUGUUACUUUUCUCUAGAUGGUUCAGCCCAAUGGUUUAUUUUGCAUCAGUUUUCAGUGCUUUAGUGGAUUUAAAGCAUCGAAACUUUUCUUUCUUGUACUAGUUUGAAUGCUUGUUUUCAAUCAUUAGCUAAAGAACAUUUGGUGGAGCAGGUACCGAUGUAGCAGGAGAAAUCGUACAAGUUGGAUCAGGUGUCCAGAGUUUCAAAGUCGGGGAUACAGUUGUUGCCGUACUUGGUGUAAGUACUCAUUCUUAUUCUUGGGUUUGUUGCAUACUUGCAAGUGGGAAACAUAUGUAUGUUUGAUGUUUCACUCGACAAGUUCGUUGGUUCAAGUUUUACUACAACCAAGCCAUAAGAUUCUUGUUCGCCAUUAUUAUUCAUCGUGUUUUAAAUGCUAUCUAGCAUCAUUUAUGUCCUUUUUCGUGCCAAUCUCUUAUUCUAUGAAUCUAUUUUGCAAUCAUAGAAUGGAGGUGCACUAGCUGAAUAUGCUGUGGCUAAGGAAGGUUCUACAGUUCCAAGGCCUCCAGAGGUAUCAGCCCCUGAAGCUGCAGCUUUGCCAAUUGCUGGCCUUGCAGCUCACCAGUCACUCACCCAGCUUGCUGGUCUCAAACUUGAUGGAACCGGCCCACAAGUAAAUGUUCUGGUUACCGCUGCUUCAGGUGGUGUAGGUCAAUAUGCAGUUCAACUCCUAAAGCUUGCAAAUGCACACAUUACAGCCACUUGUGGGGCUCGUAAUAUGGAUUUAGUCAGGAGCCUGGGGGCUGAUGAGGUUCUUGACUACAAAACUCCUGAGGGGGUGGCUCUCAAAAGCCCUUCUGGUCGCAAAUACGAUGUAAUCAUCCACUGUGCACACAACAUUCCUUGGUCUACCUUUUCGGCUAAUUUGACUCCAAAAGGAAAGGUAGUAAAUACCACUCCUGGUUUCGGUACUUUGAUGAGUGUUGCUGCGAAAAAGAUUUCAUGCUCAAAGAAGCAACUCAUACCCUUGUUUACCUCACCUAAGAAAGAGAACCUCGAUUUUCUUGUUAAGUUGGUGAGAGAUGGAAAGCUUAAGCCAAUAAUCGAUUCGAAGCAUCCUCUAAGUAAGGCCGAAGAUGCUUGGGCUAAGAGCAUUGAUGGCCAUGCCACUGGCAAGAUUCUUGUGGAGCCCUAGUUUAUGAAGAUUACUUGAUGCAUACAUUAAAUUUAUACGUUUUCUGUGAGUGGGGUUGCUUAUGAGUUAUUUGUAUAUUAACAAGUACUCUGUAUUUUGAAGAAUACAAAUGUUGGUGUGUGAGUUCUUUAUUUGUUGGCAAUUUCAAGUGUGCUAACUGUAAUGUUAUUCAAAACUGUGUUUUGUUAUAAAAUUUAAAAUUCAAAAUUCAAAAUUUUGUUUAAUGCCAUGGAAAAUUAGAUUUUAUUUUUGAAAUAUUGAAGUAACCAUUUCAUUUCACGAACACAAUUUGCUCACUAUUUCAUUCGCAAAUGGACCGUCGGUGAAUAUUGAAGGGAGUGAACAAUUACUCACCAUUUCAUUUCUCGAACACAAAUUGCACUACAUUUUCUUUCAAAAUUUCUCUCAAAUCUGUAAAUAAAUUUUUAAGCUUUUGAUUCUUAUCCAUCAAUCUUGAAAUGUUUAUUUCUAGCAAAAAUUUCUAUGUUUUUAAGAUCAAAACACGAUUUUCCAUUUUUUUUCCAAGGGAAAUCGAUUUCUUGAUUGUUCUUGACUUUGAUUUCUGAAAAAUCCAACUAGGCAAUGAUGAUUUAACUUAAUUUAAUGAUUUUCUAUCUUUGAAACUUAAUUUCUAAUGAUUUUCUCAUUUUUAAAGCUAUGCUCAUGUUGAUUGGAUUAGAGAGAGUCGAGAUUUCUUUUUGUUUUCAGGUUAGAUUUACAUUGCUAAUGAGUUUAUAAUUUUAUUAGGAUGUUAGAAAUUAGACUUAAUUGGAGAUUGAACAUAGUUCUUAGAAAUUGUUUUUAACGAGUGCUUAAGAGAAAGUGAAGAGGAAUUGAGUUUUCAACAGAGAAUUCAAUGUUUUUAGGUUAGCUUUAAGUUCUUAAGUAUGAAUGUAAGGUUAGAUUUGAGUUACGGUAAGUUUCAAUUUGAAUUCUUGAAAGUGGGCAUUGAAGUGAGAAAGUGUACUGCUAAAUCAUAUUGCAUGAUUUUGUUGAAUUUUAAAGGUUUUGAUUGUUAUGAUUUGUUGUUCUAACUUGGUUUAUUGUGUUGAUAUUGGCUUUGAAGUAAAAGAUGUUGGUGAGAGAUUAAAGACAAAAGGAAGGAAAAUAUCAUCGAAGCUCGAGUGGUUUCAGUUUGUGCAAUUGGAUCUUCAGAUUUAUCUUUGUUAGAAUUGAGUAAGCCGAAUCUGAAAAUAAAAUACAGUGGUAAAAUAAAUAAAAGUGAAAUCCAUAUAGAACUACACUUCUUUUAUUUUAUUUUAGAAUAAUGUUUUUUAACCUUAUUACACUUCAUCUAUUUGAUAUUGAUUAGAAUAAGGUGGUUCAACUUUAUUACACCUCUUCUAUUAAAAUAUGGUUUUACAAGCUUAUAAAUAGACAGUCUACUCCUCUUGUAAUUAUUCAAAUUCGACAUAGUGAAUUAUCUUCUCUUCUACCCUUGGCUUUUUCUCGAAAAAGUUUCCACGUAAAAAUCUGUGUGUUUCUCUAUUUUUCGUUCUUUUUUUUUUGUGAUACAUUAUCAUUAUCGACGUUCUAUUUUUUUCACAAUCUUAUGUUAUUGAGUUGAUAAAAUAUGAUUUUUACCGAGAUAAUUUUGAUUUAAUGCCAUGAUUACAAGUCAAAUUGAAAGUAGGCACGAAAUGCCUAUGGUUGAGUGUCAACUAUUAUCUUGAAAGGGCCUUACCCUAUUACCCUUAUCUUGUUACUUAUGGGUGGGAGAUGAUCAGGUUCAGAUUCCACCUUUCCUCUAAUUACAAUACACUCAAAUUUCAUUGCAUCUAAUUAAAUACAAACCCUUUCAAUUUUUCUUUCAAAUUUACUCCCAAAUUUUUCAACACAUUUCACUUCCAAAAUUUACUAUUUUUUUUAAUCAUGCAAGUAUCUGUUUUUUUUUUCAUUGUUUGUAACAUGUUGAAUUUUUUCAUUAAUAUAACUUCUGUGGGAUGUUCUGUGUGCCUUUGUUAUGGGUUUUAAUCGACGGCACAUGACAUUUCAAGUUUAAUAUUUGUUGAUGUGAUGGAAAUGAUGGUGCAAAGACAAUGUCCUAUUAGUACUUCGAUUUUACCGACUUUUUUAGAGGAAAAAUAAUAUUUGAAUAAAAACUAAUGAAUAAUUUUUGAUGUAGAGCAUUAAUCACAAAACAAAAUCCAAUUAUCCAUAGGAGCAUCUACAAUUCGAAUUACAUUAAAAUUAAAAUUAAAAAAGCAACACGCACACCAAGAUUUGUAUUGUUCAAAAUACAGAGUACUUGUGAAUAUACGAAUGACUCAUAAGCAACCCCACUCAUUGAAAAAGUAUAAAAUUACUGUAUGCAUCAAGUAAUCUUCAUAAACUAAGGCUCCACAAGAAUCUUGCCCGUAGCAUGGCCUUCAAUGCUCUUGGCCCAAGCAUUUUCUGCCUUACUUAGAGGAUGCUUUGAAUCGAUUAUUGGCCUAAGCUUUCCUGCUUGCACCAACUUAACAAGAAAAUCGAGGUUCUCUUUCUUGGGUGAGGUGAACAAGGGUAUGAGUUGCUUCUUCGAGCAUUUAAUCUUUUUCGCAGCAACACUCAUCAAAGUACCGAAACCAGGGGUGGUAUCUACUACCUUUCCUUUGGGAGUCAAGUUAGCCGAAAAGGUAGACCAGGGAAUGUUUUGUGCGCAGUGGAUGAUUACAUCGUAUUUGCGACCAGAAGGGCUUUUGAGAGCCACCCCAUCAGGAGUUUUGUAGUCAAGAACCUCAUCAGCCCCCAAGCUCCUGACUAAAUCCAUAUUACGAGCCCCACAAGUGGCUGUAAUGUGUGCAUUUGCAAGCUUUAGGAGUUGAACUGCAUAUUGACCUACACCACCUGAAGCAGCGGUAACCAGAACAUUUACUUGUGGGCCGGUUCCAUCAAGUUUGAGACCAGCAAGCUGGGUGAGUGACUGGUGAGCUGCAAGGCCAGCAAUUGGCAAAGCUGCAGCUUCAGGGGCUGAUACCUCUGGAGGCCUUGGAACUGUGGAACCUUCCUUAGCCACAGCAUAUUCAGCUAGUGCACCUCCAUUCUAUGAUUGCAAAAUAGAUUCAUAUAAUAAGAGAUUGGCACAACAAAGGACAUAAAUGAUGCUAGAUAACAUAUAAAACAAGGACAUGAAUGAUAACGGAGAAAAAGAAUCUAUGGCUUGGUUGUUGUAAAACUUGAACCAACGAACUUGUCGAGUGUAACAUCAAACAUACAUAUGUUUCCCACUUGCAAGUAUGCAACAAACCCAAGAAUAAGAAUGAGUACUUACACCAAGUACGGCAACAACUUUCUCCCCGACUUUGAAACUCUGGACACCUGAUCCAACUUGUACGAUUUCUCCUGCUACAUCGGUACCUGCUCCACCAAAUGUUCUUUAGCUAAUGAUUGAAAACAAGCAUUCAAACUAGUACAAGAAAGAAAAGUUUUGAUGCUUUAAAUCCAUUAAAGCAUUGAAAACUAAUGCAAAAUAAACCAUUGGGCUGAACCAUCUAGAGAAAAGUAACAGUACCAGGAAUGUGGGGGAAUUUGCGAGGUAAAAAUGGGCGCGCUACCCCCUCCUGUAUUUUCCAGUCGAUUGGGUUAAUACUAGCUGCCUCUACUUUGAUCAGAACUUCAUCCUUUUUUGGACUGGGAAUCGGAACUUCAGCAUGCUGCAACACCCAUAAAUUUCACAUUCGUUAUAAGAUUACGUCACUGGCCAUUUUUUUUCAAGAUUAUUAAAAAACAGAAGACAAAUGUUUGGAAAUGAUUUUGCAGAAAGAAAAGAGAGAGAGAGAGAGAGAGUUGACUUAGCUGUCAAAAUCGUUAAAUUCCCAAUAAUUUGGCCUCAAUGUUAAAUCUACGGUACUAAUAUAAUUAACCAAUCCUAAUAAACUUGAGAAUUUAAUUAAAACUCCAUCUUAUGCAUGGAAAAGAAGUACACAUUUCUUUUGAUCCUUACUUUUAAACUCGAAACAAAGCAAGAAUAUUACCUUGAGAUCAGCAGCUCCUCCGUUAUAUUUACUGUAUUGAACAGCACGCAUCAGAUUCUUGGCCAUUUUCUUUCUUUUUCUAAGAGACUAAAAACCGAAAGCUCCUUUUUAAGUUUGUGGGAAGGCAAAAAAAACUCAAGAUUAGAAUGUGAGACAGAGAAGGAGGGAAGGAUUGGACGGAAUAUUUUGGCGUCAGAUACUUUGAAUUUAUAGUAAAGUAAUGCAGACAUGGAAUGGUUCCUUCCGAUCAAAGCGAGAUCAUUGAAUGGGUAUAGGUGUGAAUGUGAUGUUCUAGAAGCAUUUGACUGUUUUUAUUUUUCUUUUGAGGUCAAAUUCAUAAAUUUUUUUAUUCAAUUGAUUGGAGAAUGUGUAUACUGUAUGGAAGUUUCGAUAAUAUGUUUUGUUGAAUGGAAAUGCUUUUUCAUUUUGCUUAAACAUUUAACACAAUUCGAAAAUUCAUUCGAAAAUUAGGAUAAAAAUAUGAAAUCUUAAAACAAUUAAUUGCUUCUUAUAUUUUAUUUUGCCUAGUGAUGGUAUCCCUCCCACCAACCAUUUCUUCCUCUUUUUUCUUUUCGUUCAUUCCACGUAUCUUCUCUCUUUUCAGUUUACAAAUUUGUUUUGUGGGUAUAUUUUUCAUUGAAUGAAUUAAUGAAUUUACCCCGUAUCAAUUUUUAUCUAAAAAAGCACUGAACCAACUCAAAGAAAAGCCAUUUACCAAAAAGAAAACAAGUUGGAAGUUGCCAAUUGAUAUAAUUAAAAAGGAAUAGCCGGCAGAGAUGGAACCCAAUUUAAACACGUGAUAUAGUAUCGAAACUUUGACAUUAAAAAAAUUCAACUGCUUCUAGAGCAUCAGAUUCGGUUUUGCAAUUCACACCCACACACGCAUUACAAUCGGGAACACCCAUUCCAUGUCUGGAUUGCAUUACUAUAAAUUCAAACUAUCAAACGCCAACAUACAUCAUCCCACAAUCCUAUCCUAUCCAAUCCUUCCCUCCUUCACUUUCUCUGAUCUUCUUUCUUUGCCUUCGCUCGCUUUUCAUUUUUUUUCUUAGGAAAAACAAAAAAGAAAUGGCUAAUAAUUUGAUGCGUGCCGUUCAAUACAGUAAAUAUGGCGGAGGAGCCGAUGAUUUGAAGGUGAUCCACUUGCUUCUCUCUUCUUCUUUUUUUGACCAAAUACCUUUGAGUUUGUCUCCAUUUGAUAUAAGAGUUUAGACUGAGAGCUUGACAGCAGUGUCGAUAUAUAUAUUUUUGAUGAACAUGAAAAAAGAUAUUGUUGGUCACCUGAUUUCAUAACGAGUGUGAAUUUUGUGGGUGUUGCAGCAUGUUGAAGUUCUGAUUCCCAGCCCAAAAAAGGAUGAAGUUCUGAUCAAAUUAGAGGCAGCUAGUAUUAACCCAAUCGACUGGAAAAUACAGGAAGGGGUAGCCCGCCCAUUUUUACCUCGCAAAUUCCCCCACAUUCCUGGUACUUUUUUCUUUUCUCAUGCCUGUUUCAGUCGCAUGCAUUGCAUUCUGAGCUUCACUUGUUUAGUAUCCUCUGGAUGGUUCAGCCCAAUAAUCUGAUUUGCAUCAGUUUUCAUUGGUGGAUUUAAAGCAUCCAAACUUUUCUUCUUUCUUGUGUUCAAUCAUUGGCUAAACAACAUUUGGUGGAGC
rnacentral:lncRNA from 1 species